GGAUCGUUAGUUCAGUUGGUCAGAGCAUUUCACAAAUAGGAAACGCAGGUUCGAAUCCUGCACGAUUCA
rnacentral:tRNA from 1 species